rnacentral:lncRNA from 1 species
AUACCCUCCCAGUGGACGUGAGGAUUCCAGGGGCUCAUGGGAUCUGCCUGCUGCACCCACAGGUGUGGCAGGCGUGCUUGUGGGACACCCGUUUGACACGGUCAAGGGCAAGCUGUGAGUGGCAGGCACCAGACCAGCCUUGUGCUUGCUGGCAGCGCUACACGUGGCCGCUCUUCCCACUGAGCAAAGGCACAGCUGACGGCAAGGCAGGAUGCGCACCCUGAGCUGGGUUUGCGGGAGACUUCCAGUCUCCUUUUCUGGUGAGCCUAGGCCCUUGGGACUGAAAGAAUCCAAGAUCUGGAUCUCCUCUAUAGCGCCCAGAACCACAGCCACCGUCCUGAAGCACACGGCCUUCACACGUUUCUACACGAAGGGAGUUUUCUGUCCUGCUUCCUUGGACACAGCAAUAAUCAGGGAGCAGUUGUCUUGACCUAUGAUGAGGGGGUGACCGGCCAUCCCUGGGCAUGGGAUGGGGAGUGUGGGUGGGGGCUGGCUGUGGGGGCUCCGCGCCUGGAUGUGAUGUUGAAAUUUUGUGUUGCUUUAACCGCCUUUACUUUCUGAGCUAGGGG